rnacentral:snoRNA from 1 species
UUGUGAUGAGCCCUUAUAGAUGACGAGUCUGAUCUUUCGUGAAGACACAACUAUUUAAUUUAUCCAUUCAUGCAAUUCUGAAU